rnacentral:rRNA from 1 species
GCAGUCGACGAUGAACCUGGAGCUUGCUCUAGGGAAUUAGUGGCGAACGGGUGAGUAACACGUGAGUAACCUGCCCUUGACUCUGGGAUAACCUCCGGAAACGGAAGCUAAUACCGGAUACGACGCACGGAGGCAUCUCCUGUGCGUGGAAAGAACUUCGGUCAAGGAUGGACUCGCGGCCUAUCAGGUAGUUGGUGAGGUAACGGCUCACCAAGCCUACGACGGGUAGCCGGCCUGAGAGGGUGACCGGCCACACUGGGACUGAGACACGGCCCAGACUCCUACGGGAGGCAGCAGUGGGGAAUAUUGCACAAUGGGCGCAAGCCUGAUGCAGCAACGCCGCGUGAGGGAUGACGGCCUUCGGGUUGUAAACCUCUUUUAGUAGGGAAGAAGCGAAAGUGACGGUACCUGCAGAAAAAGCACCGGCUAACUACGUGCCAGCAGCCGCGGUAAUACGUAGGGUGCGAGCGUUGUCCGGAAUUAUUGGGCGUAAAGAGCUCGUAGGCGGUCUGUCGCGUCUGCUGUGAAAUCCCGAGGCUCAACCUCGGGCCUGCAGUGGGUACGGGCAGACUAGAGUGCGGUAGGGGAGAAUGGAAUUCCUGGUGUAGCGGUGGAAUGCGCAGAUAUCAGGAGGAACACCGAUGGCGAAA